rnacentral:rRNA from 1 species
CAGGCCUAACACAUGCAAGUCGAGCGCCCCGCAAGGGGAGCGGCAGACGGGAGAGUAACACGUGGGAACGUGCCCUUUGGUUCGGAACAACUCCGGGAAACUGGAGCUAAUACCGGAUAAGCCCUUACGGGGAAAGAUUUAUCGCCAAAGGAGCGGCCCGCGUCUGAUUAGCUUGUUGGUGAGGUAAUGGCUCACCAAGGCGACGAUCAGUAGCUGGUCUAAGAGGAUGAUCAGCCUCACUGGGACUGAGACACGGCCCAGACUCCUACGGGAGGCAGCAGUGGGGAAUAUUGGACAAUGGGGGAAACCCUGAUCCAGCCAUGCCGCGUGAGUGAUGAAGGCCCUAGGGUUGUAAAGCUCUUUCAGCGGGGAAGAUAAUGACGGUACCCGCAGAAGAAGCCCCGGCUAACUUCGUGCCAGCAGCCGCGGUAAU